GGACCCGUAGCUUAGCGGUAUAGCGUCGCCUUUACACGGCGAAGGUCGUCGGUUCAAAUCCGGCCGGGUCCA
rnacentral:tRNA from 1 species